rnacentral:lncRNA from 1 species
UUUAUUGCUUAAUAUUAUUUGUCUUAAUUAAAUUCAUUCUAUAGAAGUAAUUCAAUAUUUUUUUUGUUAUUUAAUAUAUUAUUAAUAAUUUAACAAACUAUAGAAGGUUGUUGUAGCAGAGCAUCUAUUGCUGUUUACAAUAAAUUGAAGAUACAUAACUUUUGUUGGAAGCCUUUUAACAUUAUAUAUACUAAGAUUAUAUACAUUAUGUGUAUAUUGCAACUAUGACAUCUUUAAUAUUUUAACUUCAUGUCUCUUUCUUAAACCUAUUAGAGAUGUUUUUUUUAAAGCCAAAUGUUGAAACUAAAAGAUGGAAUGAAUAAGUUACAAAUUUUGAUUACUAAAAUAUUGAUUGAAUAAGUUACAAAUUUUGAUUACUAAAAGAUUGAAUAAAAAUUAUCAAAUGGUAAUUCUACUUCGUUGCAAUCAUGCAAUAAUUGUAGUAUUUAAGAAGAGAAAGGAAAAAAAAUCUUAUUCAUCAAUAUUACAACAAUUGUCUUUAUUCUUAUAAGAUUUAAAUUUUAGAAUUUAAGAAAAAAAGUCCCAUGAUGGAUAUUCAUUCCUACAAGUUAUAGACAUCUA